UCCUGUACCUGGAUGCGACUACACGAAUGAGAUGCGACUUCAUUACAAUGGACCAUAUCAGAAUCUCCAUCUGUUAAGACAAACAGGUCAAAGUGGAGAAAACAAUAAUUUUGGUGGCAACUCAGUCCACAGAAGCAGUGUUAUAGAUCACAUUGCAGGCUCCUAUGCUCGAACACAGCACUACGAGAGCAAUGGAUUGAACAGUAAUACAUUGGAACUACUGCUAAAGAAGAAUGCAACUAAUAUUGCUACUGCUAACAGGAAUUUGGAUACAAGCAUCAAUGUGGCAGCAAGAAACCCACUGCUACCAAGAUUUUACCCUCAGGCUAGCAGUGAUAUGAGUUAUUCCUAUGCAGCUUCAGAUAUGGUGUAUAAGGAAGCAAAUAGACUUCUCAUUCCGAAUAGGAAUUCUGAAUUUAGUGGCAGCAACACAGACAACUUGCUCAACAAUGAUAUUCACUGCUCAGUCUCAAACCAACUGAAGGACAUCUUCUCUGGAGUAUACUAUGGUAACUUCUUUUAUUCUGUAAUUCAAAUUCAGAUAUAAAUUAGUGGUUACAAUGCCUUUCCAGUGUUAUUAUUUUAAUUGAGAUGUUUGGGCAACUGAAUCAGAAACAUGCUAAACUGUUCAAUUGCAUGUUAUAUCUAGCCACACAAACUUACAGGUAUUAUUGUCACCAAAUUAAUACACAAAUUGAUAAUAAACUAUAUCUCUAUGGAAAUUUUAUGACCCAGAACAUAACAAUUCAAGGUAAAUACAUUUCUACUGUAAUGCCAAUAAUUGAACUUAUGCAGUAAUGCAAUGAAUGAGGGAGCAAAGAAAAAAAAACUAGUUUCAGUACAAUUUGGCAUUCACAGUAACCAAAAUAAAUUUUGAUUUUCAUCACAAUGAUGAGAUUAAUUAUUCUUUCAAUUAUUAAGACAAAAACCAUGAAGUUAUAAACAUUGAUCAUGAAUGCGGACAAUAGUUUUAUCAUUUAUUUUAUUAAUUUCUUUACGAAGUCAUGGAAAUGUUAUCCACCGAGUUAAAUGGUAAGCAACAAUGAGAAACUAUGAUAAAGAUUGUGAUCUUACAAACACAAUGAUCCUUUUUCUUUGCUGUUUAAACAAUACCUUCUUGCAUCCCUUAUAAGCUUUCAGCGACAAUUCAGUGAAUGACAAAAACUGCUUUUACAGGUGAUUCUCACCCUGAGCAUUAUCUGAACUAUGUGCCAAUUGGAGAAGCUGAUGCCACCACCAGUUUCACCAACUCCCUCCAAUCAAUACCAAAAACAACGGAUCAGCUCAAGUUUUUGGAAAACCAGAUCUGUCCAAUGCCUG
rnacentral:lncRNA from 1 species